UUCUACGGUUCUUUGGUAUUCAAUCCCUGUUUACCCUGAAAGUCUGACAGCCGUUGCUCUCAUCCAUUCGGGUUCCCAGCUGAUUGAAUAGGGGCAGCUGUAGCACCUCAAAUUUGCACCUAUCAUUAUGCAUACAUUUUCAUAUUAGGUCAUAGCAUAUCAUGAUCCAUUGCAUAGCAUUUGCAUUGUCCCUCAGUUGCCUCAAG
rnacentral:lncRNA from 1 species